rnacentral:rRNA from 1 species
GUGAGGAAUAUUGCGCAAUGGAGGCAACUCUGACGCAGCCAUGCCGCGUGCAGGAAGAAGGCGCUACGCGUUGUAAACUGCUUUUAACCGGGAAGAAACCCCAGGACGUGUCCUGGGUUGACGGUACCGGAGGAAUAAGCACCGGCUAACUUCGUACCAGCAGCCGCGGUAAUACGAAGGGUGCAAGCGUUAUCCGGAUUCAUUGGGUUUAAAGGGUGCGUAGGCGGAGCGUUAAGUCAGUGGUGAAAUCCUGCAGCUUAACUGUAGACUUGCCAUUGAUACUGGCGCUCUUGAGUGCGCUUGAAGUGGGCGGAAUGUGCCGUGUAGCGGUGAAAUGCUUAGAUAUGGCACAGAACACCAAUUGCGAAGGCAGCUCACUAAGGCGAUACUGACGCUGAGGCACGAAAGCGUGGGGAUCGAACAGGAUUAGAAACCCCUGUAGUCC